AGCUCAGUUGUUAGAGCCUGGUGCUAAUAACACCAAGCUUGUGGGUUCAAUCCCCAU
rnacentral:tRNA from 1 species